rnacentral:rRNA from 1 species
UACGUAGGGUGCGAGCGUUUGUCCGGAAUUAUUGGGCGUAAAGGGCUCGUAGGCGGUCUGUUGCGUCAGGAGUGAAAACUCGGGGCUUAACCCCGAGCCUGCUUCUGAUACGGGCAGACUAGAGGUAUGCAGGGGAGAACGGAAUUCCUGGUGUAGCGGUGAAAUGCGUAGAUAUGCGGAGGAACACCGGUGGCGAAGGCGGCAUCCUGGACCGGUAUUGACGCUGAGGCGCGAAAGCUAGGGGGAGCAAACGGG